ensembl:snRNA U6 U6 spliceosomal RNA
GUGCUUGCUUCAGCAGCACAUAUACUAAAGUUGGAACGAUACAGAGAAGAUUAGCAUGGCCCCUGCACAAGGAUGACAUGCAAAUUCGUGAAGUGUUCCAUAUUUUU